rnacentral:sRNA from 1 species
UGUUUAGUUAUGAAGUGUUUGAGUUCUUGUUUGUUGUUGUUGUUGUUGUUCUGUUUUGUGAUCCGAUGGCUAU